rnacentral:lncRNA from 1 species
UCCAGAGCUUCCAUGACUGGUUUUGGCAGGCCAUAUCGCAUGACAGAAAGGGUCGGAACAACUCCAGAGAUGCCGAGAACGGCUGGUCGUCGGAAGAAUCGACCCAACGCCUUUGGUGAAAAGAAUGAAACGCUGUGUCUACAUAAGAUCGAAUCCAUCCUACUACAGGAACACCCACGCAAUACCUUUCAUAGAUCACAUUUUGGUAGAGUGGGACCUCCGAUAUUCUGGUUGCCAUGGUGACAUAGAUGGAGGACCUUACAUACAGAACAUUGACGGAGGUGUUUUCAGAUUUGGAGCAUAGAGGGUUGUGUCUCAGUGGUAACGAUCAAAACCAUACAAAGAUGCAUACAGAUUGUAGAUGGACGUGUUCUCAGAUUGGAGCAUAUCUGAUGUGUUGUGCUUUAAAAAGAUAGUGUUCUGAGGCAAAGAUCAAGAACAUACAUACAUAUCAUGGACGAUGAUGGACGAAGGUGUUGUUAGAUCUGGACCAUAAAUGAUUUUACACAUGUCUUUGUGUAAAUAUACACAGAACAGGGUUACCAUGGAAAUGUACCUCUACAUCUAGCCAGAGAUAAAUGGAUGACCGACGUCCAAGUCACCGAACAGCAGUGAGAGAAAUACUGCAACCGAUCACGUGACAAACGCUUAGUUUUGAAUAGCAUAAGCCUUGCUAAGAUCUGUACAUAAAUUCAGAUAGCUGAGACGUACCAUGAAUGUGCAGACGACAAGUAAAAGGUGCAGACGACAUCUGGAUUUUCCCAAACUGAUGGCUGAUGUUGAAUACAAGCACAUGUGAAGAUAUAAUGUUGUAGAUAUCGCAAUGGUUUAGCGGACGGUGCAGCUAUGGUAACUAAUGUUGACUUCACAAGCACUGCAAGGAAGUCUUGUUGUAGAUUUCACAAUGGUUUAGUGGAUUGUGCAGCUUGGUCGUUUUUCUAGGGCACAACGGGAAAGCUAAGGUCGACAUUUCUCCCAGAGUGACUCAAGAGUUUCGGGCAUGCGCAUACAGUUUCUGGCUUUGGUGAUUGUAAAGCUCGAAGUAUUUGGUGCGAAACUAUCCAACGAAGGACACAAACCAUCUGACGAGUAGCAGUUUCCUAGAUCAUACACGAAGAAACUUUUAGUUAAUGGAACUACAAUUGCCACAGGCCUGCCUUGCUGGUACCAUAAAGCUGCCGAUAAACAGAGGUGAACUUGUACCUUUCGAUACCGGUCACCAGAGACGCACUGGUACCCUAUCGAUGCCGAUCAUCAGAGGUGUGCUGGACCCCUUAUGUCAUGAUGUUAACAUAUUGAUCAGGUGUUUUCAACCAGCACUGAUCGAUGGUUUUAAUGGAAUUCAAAGCUUGAUGGACAUAUCGUCUGUAUUUGUCCUGUCGUACUCACGGUAAAGAGCUCUUCAACACCUUUUGCACAAAAAAAAAAAAAUCCUGGAUGGCCGGGCAGACGAAGACUUCAGUCAGGUUUGAAAAGGCAAGAAAACAGUUUCACGUUACUGAAAGACAUAGAAAAGAAUCGAUUGCAGAAACAUAUCAUCAUGCCGUCCUGUGUUUGUUAUUUCCAACAGAAGAAUGUGCGAUGCGUUCCAGAUUGAUUUCAAACACACAAGAGAGAAAUAUAUGCGGAAGGAAGAAAGAAGUAUGAUGAAUUCACGACAAACCUUGCACAGGAUAUAAGCAUGACACCACCACAGCCACCCUGACACAAGCAUAUUUAAACAAAUUAGAAAUAAGCUGACAUGUUUAUAAUCAUAUCCCCACGUACAAAGUAUAUGGGGUUAUAUUGGAGUCACGUAUGUCCACCAGUCUGUUCGUCCGUCCGUCCAUCGUGUCCGCUUUCAUAAAACUGACAUCAAUUAUUAACCACAUCAAGACGGUGUGCUGAGCUCACAACCCAUGUCACUAGGUCCAAAGUUAAGGUUACUCUUUGAGGUCAAAAGUCAUAUAGUUUAACUUCAUGUCCGCUCCAUAUUGUCUAAAUGGCUUGGAAGGUACAAAGCUCGACUACUCGAAGAAUAAAGAUGAUUGUUAUACUUGCCUUUGCGUCGGUGUCACUGUCACCGAUGUAUUCAAGUUAAAAUUUUAUAGCAAGCUUGUGUCACUAUAUAUUCUUUACUACUUCCCCUUUUAACUUCAAACUUCAUAUAAGUGUUAGUCUUGGUAAGGGACAGACAUCUAUUACUUUUAGAGUCUGGCUUCCUAAACGUCAAGGUCACUGGGUCAAACAUUAUAACAGUGCUGGUUAAAGUUUGACAAACUUCUCAAUUUCACCAUAUCCUCUUAACCAUAUAAUCACCAAACCUUACAUAAGGAUUGACCUUAGGAAAGGGCAAACAUCUUUAGGUUUAAGAUCAGGUAGGUCAAAGAUCAAGGGCACUGGGGUCAGAUUUUAUAAUAAUGUUGGUUAAAGUUUUAUGGCACACUUCUCAGUUUGACAUAUAACUCAUACUGUUUCUUUGCACUGGUAUCCCGUAUAUCCCACAUUUUUAAGCCCUACCCACACUGUCUGUACCCCAAUCCCGACACCUACCCAAAGAUACAUUCCUCACACAAACUUACAUUUCAUAUUCCCCUCAUCUCCACUACCCACCUGUCUUCACCUACUUCCACCAAUCCCAUUUCACCACUUCUCGCUCAAAACAAAGAAGAUUUAUUUUACAUUUUCUUUACAAUUAAUUAUAUUGUAAAUUAAUGUAUAUCUUGUAUAUCAUAUGUUUAUAUGAUGUUUAAGUAUCCCUUAUUCCCACACUUCUACUCCCAACCCCACUCACUUCCAAAUUUUUUUCCUAUACAUGUAUAUUGUUUACAUCUCUCACACAUCACAUCUCACCCUUAUCUCCUAUUCUACAGCAACACCCCCUCACUUUCUCUAUAUUUCUUUUACAUCUUUCAUACUCCACUUGUAUUUCAUUUGGAUUUGUUUACCCCUCAUAACCCUUACCCCUCCCUACAUACACUGCUACCUCUAGCCACUCACAGAAAACCUUUUUCGUACAUUUCUGACACAUAUUGUUUUUUAGAUUCUUAGAUUCCCUCAUCUCCCAGAACCUACUUCCACAUAACGUUGAUCAUUACGUUCAAAGGCAAAGUCACACAUGAAGGUCAAAAGUCAUGGUGACAAAGUCUGGGGGUAUUAAUCACCUUCAGUGAUAGCUUUAACUCCUCAUGUUUAAGCGGCCUAAAUGUAUAACAAGAGCUGAAUUGUAUCAUUUAUUUUACAAGUGUUUGUUAAAUUUUAGGAUGAAUAGUUUCAGUAAAUUUAGAAAAUUAUAUAAUUUAAGAUCGGUGAUACAGUCGAACUAUUUUUAGACGAUUCAGAUACUUCUAGCUAGGUUUGUUUUUGGCCUUGAAAUUAUGCAUUUUUAUUGCAUUAUUUAAAAAAAUACAUUUUUGAACACAAAAUUCACAUUUGACUUUGAUAAAUAAAAUAACAGGGGCAGCCAGUAUUUGUAAGAAACCACAUAGAAUAAUACUGAUUUGGUUAAUUAUUUCAAAAGCAUCUCAAAUAUAAGUUACUUUUAAACUGGACAGGGAUAGUUUUCAAAGAUAAAUAAAUAUGCGUAGAUCUGUUUAUGAACACAAAUCAACAACAUUUUGGGACAUGAGUUAAACUCCGAUAUUUGUUUGUUUCAGUGAUAGAUCGAAAUACAGAAUCAUUCUAGACUCAACUCCCGCAAAUGUAAACAUUUGAAAUAAUUCAGUUUUACUUAUAAAUUAAAGAUUUUUUUUUCAUUUUCAUGUACAAUUUAUCAGUGUACGUCACACGUAACGUUACGCUUGCUCUUAUGGCAAUAAAUAUGUUGGAAAAAGUAAUAUAGUUCUACGAGACUGAUUUCUUUUUCAUUUUAAUAAAAUUAUUUUUCUACUAUUUUUUUUGUUAAAAAACUAUCCGAUUAUGUGUAGAUCUAAUUCAUAUUCUUUCGCGUUAGAUUGAUGUUGCGUGCAAGUGAAAGUUGCGUUUGGAUUUCUCACUUCUAAAUCUGUGGGUUUAUCAGGCUAUAAUGUGUCGUUAUGUUUCAGUAAUACUCUGAAUGCUUGAAAUAAAAUUUCAUACUCUAGUAACAACAAAAUGUACAGAUAAAAUCGUAAUAGUUUUAUUCAAACACACAUCCUACCGUCUUUUGUCUGGGUCAACCUAAUGUAGCUUUUGAAAGUCAUUUUGGCCUCAUUUCUUGUACACUGAAUUUUACACUGUUUGGCAUAACU